rnacentral:rRNA from 1 species
GUAGGGAAUAUUGGGCAAUGGUCGGAAGACUGACCCAGCCAUGCCGCGUGCAGGAAGACGGCCCUCUGGGUUGUAAACUGCUUUUAUCUGGGAAGAAAAAGGCCAUGCGUGGCAAAUUGCCGGUACCAGAUGAAUAAGCACCGGCUAACUCCGUGCCAGCAGCCGCGGUAAUACGGAGGGUGCGAGCGUUGUCCGGAUUUAUUGGGUUUAAAGGGUGCGUAGGCGGCUGAUUAAGUCAGCGGUGAAAGACUUCGGCUUAACCGGAGCAGUGCCGUUGAUAGUGGUUGGCUUGAGUGUCGGAGGGGUACAUGGAAUUGAUGGUGUAGCGGUGAAAUGCAUAGAUACCAUCAGGAACACCGAUAGCGAAGGCAUUGUACUGGCCGACAACUGACGCUGAUGCACGAAAGUGUGGGGAUCGAACAGGAUUAGAAACCCUUGUAGUCC